AUUUACGGUUGCAACAUAGGUUGGCUUCAAAAAAAAGUCUUUAUGAUCCAAUUGAUUAUGAAUGCAUUGAUAAAACGGAAUUUUGGGUGGUGGAAGAGGAGGUUGAAGGAGAACUUGCCUUUGAUGAGUUAGAGUCUAUGUUGGAGGAGCAACCAAGAAUUAGUGAAGAAUCAACCAACUUUUCUAAAGAUGACAUGGUUACCGUUGAGGAGGAUGAUAAUGCAAUGAUUGAUGUUGGAAGAAUGACUAGCAAUGAUUUAGAUGAAGAAGAUUGGCUCACAUCUCCUCCAAAAAAUUAAAUUGAAAUGUUUUGAUAUGUUUAGUUAUGUUAUAUAUUGUUGGAU